UACGUAGGGGGCAAGCGUUGUCCGGAAUUAUUGGGCGUAAAGCGCGCGCAGGCGGCUUUGUAAGUCUGGUGUUUAAACCUAGGGCUCAACCCUGGGUCGCAUUGGAAACUGCAAGGCUUGAGUGCAGAAGAGGAGAGUGGAAUUCCACGUGUAGCGGUGAAAUGCGUAGAGAUGUGGAGGAACACCAGUGGCGAAGGCGACUCUCUGGGCUGUAACUGACGCUGAGGCGCGAAAGCGUGGGGAGCAAACAGG
rnacentral:rRNA from 1 species